rnacentral:rRNA from 1 species
UACGGAGGGUGCGAGCGUUAAUCGGAAUUACUGGGCGUAAAGCGCGCGUAGGUGGCUUGAUAAGCCGGUUGUGAAAGCCCCGGGCUCAACCUGGGAACGGCAUCCGGAACUGUCAAGCUAGAGUGCAGGAGAGGAAGGUAGAAUUCCCGGUGUAGCGGUGAAAUGCGUAGAGAUCGGGAGGAAUACCAGUGGCGAAGGCGGCCUUCUGGACUGUAACUGACACUGAGGCUCGAAAGCGUGGGUAGCAAACAGG